CGGGCUUCCUGCCUCAUACACAUCACAGUGCUGGAAACUGCAGAGGAGGACAAAGGACUCGCCACUGUGGGUUACCUGAUCUAACAAAAGUCUCAGGAUGGUGAAACUUCCUGGAAGACUAACUUUCCAAUUUACCAAAUAUUUGUUGAAUGACUGAAUGCCAGACUUCAGAACAGAAUAAAAUGACUGAAUAGAUCAUGUGGAAGGAUAUGUGGUUGAGUUGACUGUCACUGAUGCAAGGAGAAAAAAAUCAUUAAAAACGGAGAGGUGAAGGGUAGUUUCACAUGAUCAACACUGAGUUGUUCCCUGAGCUGUUUGCAACGUUGAUUGCAAGCGCGAAUCCUCCUCGGGGAAAAUAUGUCCUCUUGUAGAUGGAGUCAUAUGCCAGUGUCUUACCAGAUGUGAGAAGCUCUCCCAAGGGCAAAGUAGCCCCACAGUGAAAAGAAAGCCACGCUCCACCCUCACGUGCCCCAAACAACCCCAGAUGGUCUAAAGGCUCUUAAAAGCUCCAGGAGUCAGAAGAUGGCAUGGGCUCAUGGUGCAGAUGGAAGCUC
rnacentral:lncRNA from 1 species